rnacentral:tRNA from 1 species
CGCGGUGUGGACCAGUAGUAGGUUGUCAGGCUCAUAACCUGAAGACGCCGGUGCAAUUCCGGCCGCCGCAACAA